AGCGCAAUCCCGCCUCUGUCGGACGUUUUGUUGUUGUCGCUGUUGUUUAGAAGCUGCUAUCUCCACUAGUCGAUACGAGCAGUGAAAACAAGAUGAUCUUUCUACACGGCCUGGCUUUAGCCGUGUAUGAAUUUCAGAGAUACCUCAAAUACCGCGAUGAUCAGAGAGUAGAGAUGCUGAAGCGGGAGGCAGAUCGCCAAGCCGCCGAAGCGUUCGUCGCACAAGAGAAACUCCUGAUUGCUGAUGCAAUGGAAGC